AUCUCCUUAGCUCAGUUGGUUAGAGUAUUCGCUUUACACGCGAAGGGUCGACGGUUCGAUCCCGUCAGGGGAUA
rnacentral:tRNA from 1 species